rnacentral:misc_RNA from 1 species
AACACUGUUAACCUGCGGUACCUGCGGAGGGAUCAUUACAGAGUGUAAAAACUCCCAAACCCCUGUGAACGUACCUGUCGUUGCUUCGGCGGAUCGCCCCGGGCGCUGCAAGGUGCCCCGGAGUCAGGCGCCCGCCGGAGGACCACAAACUCUUGUUUUAUACCGGAAUUCUCUGAGUGGCAUGUCUCAUGCAAAAACAAAAUGAAUCAAAACUUUUAGCAACGGAUCUCAGAUCGGAAG